ACUGCAAGCUUCUGUGAGAUCUCUGAAUCCUGAAUGUGUUCCUGGCUCUGGUCACAGAUUUCCUUCCAAUCACUGGAACAUUUGCUGUAAGGGCUGGCUAAAGGUGCCCGAGGAAAUCACCUUUUACAAGGGAGCAUUGUUGUAAAGGAUUUUUAAUGCAUUAUGGCUCACGCAGCAUCACAGUUAAAGAAAAACAGGGAUUUAGAAAUUAAUGCUGAUGAAGAAACUGAGAAAAAAAGAAAACACAGGAAAAGAUCCCGGGAUCGGAAAAGUCUGACACAAAUGCAAGUUACCUGAGAGCUGCUCGAGCUGGCAACUUGGAAAAGGCUCUCGACUACUUAAAAAGUGGAGUGGACAUCAACAUUUCAAAUCAGAAUGGGUUGAAUGCUCUCCAUCUCGCUUCCAAAGAAGGGCACGUAGAAGUUGUCUCUGAACUGAUACAGCGAGGUGCCAGUGUGGAUGCAGCAACAAA